CCUACGGGUGGCAGCAGUGGGGAAUCUUGGACAAUGGGGGAAACUCUGAUCCAGCGACGCCGCGUGAGUGAAGAAGUAUUUCGGUAUGUAAAGCUCUAUCAGUAGGGAAGAAAAAAGUGACGGUACCUUACAAAUCAGCCCCGGCUAACUACGGGCCAGCAGCCGCGGUAAUACGUAGGGGGCAAGCGUUAUCCGGAUUUACGGGGUGUAAAGGGAGCGUAGACGGCGAUGCAAGUCUGAAGUGAAAGGCCGGGGCUCAACCCCUGGACUGCUUUGGAAACUGUGUGGCUGGAGUGCAGGAGAGGUGAGUGGAAUUCCUAGUGUAGCGGUGAAAUGCGUAGAUAUUAGGAGGAACACCAGUGGCGAAGGCGGCUCACUGGACUGUAACUGACGUUGAGGCUCGAAAGCGUGGGGAGCAAACAGGAUUAGAUACCCGAGUAGUC
rnacentral:rRNA from 1 species